rnacentral:misc_RNA from 1 species
GAAAUGCGAUAAGUAGUGUGAAUUGCAGAAUUUAGCGAAUCAUCGAAUCUUUGAACGCACAUUGCGCCCCUUGGUAUUCCAUGGGGCAUGCCUGUUCGAGCGUCAUUUCAACCCUCAAGCACUGCUUGGUGUUGGGCGUUUGUCCCGCCUACGCGCGUGGACUCGCCUCAAAGUCAUUGGCAGCUGUUCCCCUUCGGCUCGUAAGCGCAGCACAGUCGGCGCCCGGAGCUCUGGUGGGAUGGCGUCCAGCAAGCUAUAUUUUCAGGCUUGACCUCGGAUCAGGUAAGGAUACCCGCUGAACUUAAGC